AGCGAACGCUGGCGGCAGGCCUAACACAUGCAAGUCGAACGAACUCUUCGGAGUUAGUGGCGGACGGGUGAGUAACACGUGGGAACGUGCCUUUAGGUUCGGAAUAACUCAGGGAAACUUGUGCUAAUACCGAAUGUGCCCUUCGGGGGAAAGAUUUAUCGCCUUUAGAGCGGCCCGCGUCUGAUUAGCUAGUUGGUGAGGUAAAGGCUCACCAAGGCGACGAUCAGUAGCUGGUCUGAGAGGAUGAUCAGCCACAUUGGGACUGAGACACGGCCCAAACUCCUACGGGAGGCAGCAGUGGGGAAUCUUGCGCAAUGGGCGAAAGGCUGACGCAGCCAUGCCGCGUGAAUGAUGAAGGUCUUAGGAUUGUAAAAUUCUUUCACCGGGGACGAUAAUGACGGUACCCGGAGAAGAAGCCCCGGCUAACUUCGUG
rnacentral:rRNA from 1 species